AGUUCAUGGCCAAGUACUGUAUAUAGAUGCAUGCCCUAUUCCUCCUGCAGGCUUAGUUCCAGCAAUGUAUAAUCUCGUGUACGAGAAAGAUGACUUUAGUUCCCUCAAACGGUGGCUAAAUAAAUGGAUCCUGAUGAAUUAUUCGCACCUUGACUGCUUGAGGUGGUGUUGUGUGAAAACUAAUACCAGAGAAAGACUGCCUUUUUCUUUUUCUCCCAAAACACGCAUAUUUAUUGAACAUCUUCAUGGCCAGAUUGUAUUAACAAACGAAGCCAGUUUUGCCACCACCUUGAUCUCUGCACUGCUAAAUACAAUUGCGUGUUGCUUAAAUUUUUUUGAUUUUGAAUUACUCGCACCUUGACUGCUUGAGGUGAUGUUGUGUGAAAACUAAUACGAGAGAAAGACUGCCUUUUUCUUUUUCUCCUUAAACACGCAUAUUUA
rnacentral:lncRNA from 1 species